rnacentral:lncRNA from 1 species
UGGUGUUUACGUAUAUUUUUAUUUUUAAUGUUUAUCAUUUUUCAAGAUAUAAUCACCAUCAGACAUUUUAUGAAAUUCCUGAAAAUGAUACGAAACGACUAAGUUUUUAAGUCAUACUUAAAAUGACUAGUCCCAUAUACAGGGACGUGCAACAAAACGUGGACUCGAAAGAUGGAUUUAGAAAUGCAUCAAUAAUUUUAUAUUUAUAUUAGGCAGAAAAAUAGUGUUAACAAGCAUGUAGAAAAAGUUUUUGCAAAAUUGUCUUCAUUCAACAUGACAAUCCUUCAUUAUCAAUCACCGUCUUUACUUGUCGCCUGAAGGGCAUGCGCGAGUUGAUGAUAAAAUCCUCUGACAAGUUGUCCAAAGUAGCCACUAUGGAGGAUUUCAGUGAGUACACAUUUGGUCGUGAGGCUCUGUUGGUUUCCCUCUACAAUGUGUCCCUUAUAGAAAAGUCUGGUGAGGAAGGUGAUCAUAUCUCUUUGGAACAGAAUCGAGCUGUCUUAUUUGUGCAUAACUUUUGGCACUUGGCGGACGUGUGAGAGUGGGCGCCAUCCUUAUUCUGGAUUUAGUUAUCCUCUGGAUAGUUGGUCUUCACCAAUGGCAAGUUGGUGUACUAGAAAAAGAACGGAGGCAUCUUUUUCCAUCAGAGUCCACAACGACCAUUGUUUGGGCCGGAUAUUUGUUGUGGUAAACCCCUGGUACCUCUUUUUUUGUUUCCGCAAGCCAGCGGUGGUGGAAUUGAUCGACGGUGAAAAUCUUCUUGUCUGAGAAAAUUUUCACAAUUGACCCAUUUGUCUUCAUCGAUGGGAGGAUUUUCUUGUAUCUCUCGAGACUUCCUGGGUUUCAUACCCUCUGUCAGAAAGUGGCGUGGAGUUCUUGUGAAAGAAAAUAAUCCCAAGUUGUGCUUUAUAGCCUUCUUGAUGGUCCUUGAAGCCACAGAGAAGACGUUGGUGAGGUGAUUCAUCGACUUAGUGAGAUCCUCCUUUAUAUUCUUCUCCAAACUUAACGCGUACUUCAUAUCCCUCUUUAAAUUAUGCCAUCCACUUGCUGACAUCCUGGAGAGGUCUUCUCAAUUUUUUUUCAUCUUGGCCAACUUAAAAACCAGGCUCCUAGAACCCUUAACAAUGUCUUUAAUCUUCAUCAUAUCAACUCCAGCAUCUAGGAGAUCUGAGAUGCGCUGCCUUUUUUUGCUUGUUGCUCGCUCUUGAUGAUGAAAUGACUAAAUGAGCAGUAUAAUUUUUUUAUGUAAAAAGAACGACGGAAACAGAAUAUCAAAAAAUAAUCGUUGGAACAGUUUGUUAAAAAUACUAACCUCUCCCACGUCGUUAUCUUCAUUGUAUCACACAACUUUCAUUCAAAAAGUAACAUAAAAAAACAAAAAAACCCUGAACUUAGUUAAUAGUUAGCCCAUUUUUUUGCAACUAUGCACCUAUUGUUCAAUGAUAAAAAGGAGCUAAUUCUAAUACAACCAAUCAACGCUCAGAACACUGUUUAGGAGAAAAGAAUAAAAAUCAUCGACACCCGACAACAAAUUACACUGUCCAUUUUUGUGUUAGCGAGAUACCUGAUUAUCCGAUAUGAUUCAAUUCAACAUGUAUGGAAUAGGCAUAGAAAAAUUUGAAAUGUAUGUUACAAAAUGCCGAUUUACGGUGCGAAAAAAACUUGCAAGAGGCGUGCUCAGAGGUCUAGAAGUUUUUUGGGAAUCUCAAUAGAAAUGAUGGAUUUUCAUUAUUCAAAUGGAAAAAACAAUUUGAUGUCAUAACUAUUUAAUGUAGAUAAAUUCUCUUUCACACAGUUUAAAAUUUUUUUUCAAUACGUUACUUUGUUUAUUCGUAUCAUUUGCUUGAAAAUAAAUUACUUCAAGAUAGCCUUCAAAACCACAAUUUUGGUGUAAUGGAUCAAAUAAAUUGUAUAACGGACGUUAAAAUAUCUAUUUUUUUACUAUUUUGUAGAGUUUCCAGUUAAUUUCUUGAUUCAAAGUGCAUAAAUUUUAAUCCGGUCUUAUCACCUUCAAUCUUUAUUACUGAGCAAUAUUUAAGUACUUUGUCUAUU